UACGAAGGGGGCUAGCGUUGCUCGGAAUGACUGGGCGUAAAGGGCGCGUAGGCGGAUGGCACAGUCAGAUGUGAAAUUCCCGGGCUUAACCUGGGGGCUGCAUUUGAUACGUGUUGUCUUGAGUUCGGAAGAGGGUCGUGGAAUUCCCAGUGUAGAGGUGAAAUUCGUAGAUAUUGGGAAGAACACCGGUGGCGAAGGCGGCGAACUGGUCCGACACUGACGCUGAGGCGCGACAGCGUGGGGAUCAAACAGG
rnacentral:rRNA from 1 species